UUUAAUCUUUGGGGAUCGGUGAAAUUCCAUACCGGCGGUAAAAGCAAGAAGGACCGGUCGUGUUCUUUUUGCUCAAAGCCCGCGAACGCAAUAAAUGCGCUGAACAGGGGAAGAUCCUGUGCCGACGGUCACAGUCCGGAUGGGAAAAGAUAAAG
rnacentral:ncRNA from 2 species